rnacentral:tRNA from 1 species
GCUCCCUUAGUUCAAUGGAUAUAACAACACUCCCUCCUAAGGAGUAGUUGCAGGUUCGAUAUUCCUGUAGGGGGGG